GUCUAGGUGUCUAACCUCCUCCGAGGUAGACACCAAAGGUAACCUGACACAGGGACCCUGAGAAACGGCUACCACAUGCAAGGAAGACAGCAGGCGCGCAAAUGACCCACUCCCGACGCGGGAAGGUAGUGAUGGC